CAAUCAAGUGUCUUAAGGGCAAUUAGUGGAUGCCUUGGCAUGCACAGGCGAUGAAGGACGUGAUACGCUGCGAUAAGCGUCGGGGAGGUGCGAAUACCCUUUGAUCCGACGAUUUCCGAAUGGGGAAACCCACCUAAAAUACUUGGAAAAUCAGAGUGGCAGGCGACUGCUGCUGUGGUUUCCAAGUAUUUAUUAUAGGUAACUUACCCUGAAUAUAUAGGGGUAAAGUGGCGAACGCGGGGAACUGAAACAUCUAAGUACCCGUAGGAAAGGACAUCAACCGAGACUCCGGAAGUAGUGGCGAGCGAACCCGGACCAGGCCAGUGAUCUUGGCGAGACAAGCAGAACCAUCUGGAAAGUUGGGCGAUAUGGGUGACAGCCCCGUAUGCGUAAUGCGAACCAAGAUCCUUGAGUAAGGCGGGACACGUGAAAUCCUGUCUGAAAUUCGGAGGACCACCUUCGAAGCCUAAGUACUCGUGCAUGACCGAUAGCGAACUAGUACCGUGAGGGAAAGGUGAAAAGCACCCCAACGAGGGGAGUGAAAAAGUACCUGAAACUGGUUGCCUACAAACAGAUGGAGCCUGAAAGGGUGACAUCGUACCUUUUGUAUAAUGGGUCAGCGACUUAGUGUAUCGAGCAAGCUUAAGCCGGUAGGUGUAGGCGCAGCGAAAGCGAGUCUGAACAGGGCGUUCAGUUCGAUGCAUUAGACCCGAAACCGAGUGAUCUAGCCAUGAGCAGGUUGAAGGUGAGGUAACACUCACUGGAGGACCGAACCCAUAACUGUUGCAAUAGUUCGGGAUGACUUGUGGCUAGGGGUGAAAGGCCAAUCAAACUCGGAAAUAGCUGGUUCUCCGCGAAAUCUAUUUAGGUAGAGCGUCGACCGAAUACCCUGGGGGGUAAAGCACUGCAUGGGCUAGGGGUCCUCACCGGAUUACCAAACCUAAGCAAACUCUGAAUACCCAGGAGUACUAGUCGGCAGACACACGGCGGGUGCUAACGUCCGUCGUGAAAAGGGAAACAACCCUGACCAACAGCUAAGGUCCCCAAGUUAUGGCUAAGUGGGAAAGGAUGUGAGGAUCCCAAAACAACCAGGAUGUUGGCUUAGAAGCAGCCAUCAUUUAAAGAAAGCGUAACAGCUCACUGGUCUAAAUAAGGGUCUUUGCGCCUAAAAUGUAACGGGGCUAAAGCCAUACACCGAAGCUUUGGGUGCAUAGCAAUAUGCGCGGUAGCGGAGCGUUCUGUAGGCCUGUGAAGGGAGACCCGUGAGGGCUCCUGGAGGUAUCAGAAGUGCGAAUGCUGACAUGAGUAACGUAAGGAGUGUGAGAGACACUCCCGCCGAAAGACCAAGGGUUCCUGCUUAAAGUUAAUCUGAGCAGGGUUAGCCGGACCCUAAGGCGAGGCCGAAAGGCGUAGUCGAUGGGAAUCACGUUAAUAUUCGUGAGCCUGCAGGUAGUGACGGAUCAUCAAGGUAGUUCAUUCUUAUUGGAUUGAAUGGGCUGCUGCGUGGUUCCAGGAAAUAGCUCCUGCUUAUAGUCCGUACCCGAAACCGACACUGGUGGUCUGGUAGAGUAUACCAAGGCGCUUGAGAGAACUAUGCUGAAGGAACUCGGCAAAUUGCACGCGUAACUUCGGAAGAAGCGUGACCCCUUAGUACGCAAGUAUUGGGGGGUGGCACAGACCAGGGGGUAGCGACUGUUUAUCAAAAACACAGGGCUCUGCGAAGCCGCAAGGCGACGUAUAGGGUCUGACGCCUGCCCGGUGCUGGAAGGUUAAGAGGAGAGGUGCAAGCUUUGAAUCGAAGCCCC
rnacentral:rRNA from 15 species